UUAAGCGACUAAGCGUACACGGUGGAUGCCCUGGCAGUCAGAGGCGAUGAAGGACGUGCUAAUCUGCGAUAAGCGUCGGUAAGGUGAUAUGAACCGUUAUAACCGGCGAUUUCCGAAUGGGGAAACCCAGUGUGAUUCGUCACACUAUCAUUAACUGAAUCCAUAGGUUAAUGAGGCGAACCGGGGGAACUGAAACAUCUAAGUACCCCGAGGAAAAGAAAUCAACCGAGAUUCCCCCAGUAGCGGCGAGCGAACGGGGAGCAGCCCAGAGCCUGAAUCAGUGUGUGUGUUAGUGGAAGCGUCUGGAAAGGCGCGCGAUACAGGGUGACAGCCCCGUACACAAAAAUGCACAUGCUGUGAGCUCGAUGAGUAGGGCGGGACACGUGGUAUCCUGUCUGAAUAUGGGGGGACCAUCCUCCAAGGCUAAAUACUCCUGACUGACCGAUAGUGAACCAGUACCGUGAGGGAAAGGCGAAAAGAACCCCGGCGAGGGGAGUGAAAAAGAACCUGAAACCGUGUACGUACAAGCAGUGGGAGCACGCUUAGGCGUGUGACUGCGUACCUUUUGUAUAAUGGGUCAGCGACUUAUAUUCUGUAGCAAGGUUAACCGAAUAGGGGAGCCGAAGGGAAACCGAGUCUUAACUGGGCGUUAAGUUGCAGGGUAUAGACCCGAAACCCGGUGAUCUAGCCAUGGGCAGGUUGAAGGUUGGGUAACACUAACUGGAGGACCGAACCGACUAAUGUUGAAAAAUUAGCGGAUGACUUGUGGCUGGGGGUGAAAGGCCAAUCAAACCGGGAGAUAGCUGGUUCUCCCCGAAAGCUAUUUAGGUAGCGCCUCGUGAAUUCAUCUCCGGGGGUAGAGCACUGUUUCGGCAAGGGGGUCAUCCCGACUUACCAACCCGAUGCAAACUGCGAAUACCGGAGAAUGUUAUCACGGGAGACACACGGCGGGUGCUAACGUCCGUCGUGAAGAGGGAAACAACCCAGACCGCCAGCUAAGGUCCCAAAGUCAUGGUUAAGUGGGAAGCGAUGUGGGAAGGCCCAGACAGCCAGGAUGUUGGCUUAGAAGCAGCCAUCAUUUAAAGAAAGCGUAAUAGCUCACUGGUCGAGUCGGCCUGCGCGGAAGAUGUAACGGGGCUAAACCAUGCACCGAAGCUGCGGCAGCGACGCUUAUGCGUUGUUGGGUAGGGGAGCGUUCUGUAAGCCUGUGAAGGUGUACUGUGAGGUAUGCUGGAGGUACCAGAAGUGCGAAUGCUGACAUAAGUAACGAUAAAGCGGGUGAAAAGCCCGCUCGCCGGAAGACCAAGGGUUCCUGUCCAACGUUAAUCGGGGCAGGGUGAGUCGACCCCUAAGGCGAGGCCGAAAGGCGUAGUCGAUGGGAAACAGGUUAAUAUUCCUGUACUUGGUGUUACUGCGAAGGGGGGACGGAGAAGGCUAUGUUGGCCGGGCGACGGUUGUCCCGGUUUAAGCGUGUAGGCUGGUUUUCCAGGCAAAUCCGGAAAAUCAAGGCCGAGGCGUGAUGACGAGGCACUACGGUGCUGAAGCAACAAAUGCCCUGCUUCCAGGAAAAGCCUCUAAGCAUCAGGUAACAUCAAAUCGUACCCCAAACCGACACAGGUGGUCAGGUAGAGAAUACCAAGGCGCUUGAGAGAACUCGGGUGAAGGAACUAGGCAAAAUGGUGCCGUAACUUCGGGAGAAGGCACGCUGAUACGUAGGUGAAGCGACUUGCUCGUGGAGCUGAAAUCAGUCGAAGAUACCAGCUGGCUGCAACUGUUUAUUAAAAACACAGCACUGUGCAAACACGAAAGUGGACGUAUACGGUGUGACGCCUGCCCGGUGCCGGAAGGUUAAUUGAUGGGGUUAGCGCAAGCGAAGCUCUUGAUCGAAGCCCCGGUAAACGGCGGCCGUAACUAUAACGGUCCUAAGGUAGCGAAAUUCCUUGUCGGGUAAGUUCCGACCUGCACGAAUGGCGUAAUGAUGGCCAGGCUGUCUCCACCCGAGACUCAGUGAAAUUGAACUCGCUGUGAAGAUGCAGUGUACCCGCGGCAAGACGGAAAGACCCCGUGAACCUUUACUAUAGCUUGACACUGAACAUUGAGCCUUGAUGUGUAGGAUAGGUGGGAGGCUUUGAAGUGUGGACGCCAGUCUGCAUGGAGCCGACCUUGAAAUACCACCCUUUAAUGUUUGAUGUUCUAACGUGGACCCGUGAUCCGGGUUGCGGACAGUGUCUGGUGGGUAGUUUGACUGGGGCGGUCUCCUCCUAAAGAGUAACGGAGGAGCACGAAGGUUGGCUAAUCCUGGUCGGACAUCAGGAGGUUAGUGCAAUGGCAUAAGCCAGCUUGACUGCGAGCGUGACGGCGCGAGCAGGUGCGAAAGCAGGUCAUAGUGAUCCGGUGGUUCUGAAUGGAAGGGCCAUCGCUCAACGGAUAAAAGGUACUCCGGGGAUAACAGGCUGAUACCGCCCAAGAGUUCAUAUCGACGGCGGUGUUUGGCACCUCGAUGUCGGCUCAUCACAUCCUGGGGCUGAAGUAGGUCCCAAGGGUAUGGCUGUUCGCCAUUUAAAGUGGUACGCGAGCUGGGUUUAGAACGUCGUGAGACAGUUCGGUCCCUAUCUGCCGUGGGCGCUGGAGAACUGAGGGGGGCUGCUCCUAGUACGAGAGGACCGGAGUGGACGCAUCACUGGUGUUCGGGUUGUCAUGCCAAUGGCACUGCCCGGUAGCUAAAUGCGGAAGAGAUAAGUGCUGAAAGCAUCUAAGCACGAAACUUGCCCCGAGAUGAGUUCUCCCUGACCCUUUAAGGGUCCUGAAGGAACGUUGAAGACGACGACGUUGAUAGGCCGGGUGUGUAAGCGCAGCGAUGCGUUGAGCUAACCGGUACUAAUGAACCGUGAGGCUUAACCUU
rnacentral:rRNA from 1 species